rnacentral:rRNA from 1 species
GCGUAGGCGGUCUUUCAAGUCAGGAGUGAAAGGCUACGGCUCAACCGUAGUAAGCUCUUGAAACUGGGAGACUUGAGUGCAGGAGAGGAGAGUGGAAUUCCUAGUGUAGCGGUGAAAUGCGUAGAUAUUAGGAGGAACACCAGUUGCGAAGGCGGCUCUCUGGACUGUAACGGACGCUGAGGCACGAAAGCGUGGGGAGCAAACAGGAUUAGAUACCCUGGUAGUCCACGCUGUAAACGAUGAGUACUAGGUGUCGGGGGUUACCCCCUUCGGUGCCGCAGCUAACGCAUUAAGUACUC